rnacentral:rRNA from 1 species
AGUGAACGCUGGCGGUAGGCCUAACACAUGCAAGUCGAACGGCAGCACAGUAAGAGCUUGCUCUUACGGGUGGCGAGUGGCGGACGGGUGAGGAAUACAUCGGAAUCUACUUUUUCGUGGGGGAUAACGUAGGGAAACUUACGCUAAUACCGCAUACGACCUACGGGUGAAAGCAGGGGAUCUUCGGACCUUGCGCGAUUGAAUGAGCCGAUGUCGGAUUAGCUAGUUGGCGGGGUAAAGGCCCACCAAGGCGACGAUCCGUAGCUGGUCUGAGAGGAUGAUCAGCCACACUGGAACUGAGACACGGUCCAGACUCCUACGGGAGGCAGCAGUGGAGAAUAUUGGACAAUGGGCGCAAGCCUGAUCCAGCCAUACCGCGUUGGUGAAGAAGGCCUUCGGGUUGUAAAGCCCUUUUGUUGGGAAAGAAAAGCAGCAGGUUAAUACCCCGCUGUUCUGACGGUACCCAAAGAAUAAGCACCGGCUAACUUCGUG